AUUAGUGGCGUUUAGUAAAUGUAACACCCUCCAUUUUCCAUCAAAAAAAUGUUUGAUUACCCGCUCUUCUAACAAUUUGAAAAUCUAAUAAAAUGGUGAAAAGCUGCUCAUUGAAAUGUAACCUCGAGGGUGACUCGGAGUUGGUAAAAGCAAAAGCUUCUAAUAUUCCAGUAAAAUUCAAGAAUCUUGUUGAAGUGGCUGCCACGAUUCGUAAUAUGACUGUCCAAAGAGCAAAUUCUUAUUUGAAGAAUGUUUUACUUCACAAGGAAUGUAUUCCAUUCAGAAAAUUUAAAAGUGGAGUGGGAAAAUGUUCUCAGGCAAAGCAGUUCAAACUAGUAAAUGGACGCUGGCCGAAGAAUAGUGCAAAGUGUAUGAUAGACCUAUUGCGAAAUGUAUCAGCUAAUUGUGAAUAUCAUGGUAAAGAUCCAGCAGAUUUUUUUAUUCAUCACAUUCAAGUCAACCAAGCUCCUACUUCUACUAGAAGAACCUACAGAGCCCAUGGGAGAAUAAAUUCUUAUAUGCGUCAUAACAGCCAUAUUCAGAUUGUCCUCAAAGAAAAAUAAUACUAAAAUAUGUUCUGUAACAUUUGAAGCUGUUCUUUAUUAAAUAAUAGAAAGUUCAGUUGUGA